AGAGAUGCUGGCACAGACACGUUGUCUUGGUAUGCUGUAUUUCUGGAUCUAAGAUCAAUCUGAGAGAACAGAUUCCCUGCUCAUGGGUAUGGUAAAUUUAACAGCGGGGAGGAAUAAUGGCCUUCUGAAGAUUGCCAAUGAGCAAAGAAUCUGACAUGUUCUGCCCAGGGCUCUGUCAGUCUCUACACCGAGCAAACCGAUGGGAUCAUGAAACCGUUUUCCAGACUUGAGAGGAGCUCUGCAGGAUGGUGGCAGUGAGCACCACCACUUCUGCCUUGGCAAUAGAGACACCCAUUCUGUUUGAAGAGCUCACCCCACACUUUGUGCAGUCAGAAGAAAGCUCUGCAAUAAUUUAC
ensembl:lncRNA